rnacentral:lncRNA from 1 species
ACCAAUUGUGUGGCUGUGACAAUUACAGUCAGUGCCUGCUUGUCAGUAAAGCAUCUGGGGUUGUCAGAUGGCCAAAUCUAACCACACUGACAGUUCCCAGUCAGGCAGCUGCACCAGCAGGAGUGACAACCAUCUCGAUGGAAGAAAUUACUCUGAUCAUGGCUUGGGGUUCCUGAAAAAUGCUCCCAUCCUGAUAACCUAGAACUACAGAUGAUGCUGUGAGAAAGGAUGGAAAGAAGGUGGCAAAACCCACAGUAAAUGAAAAAAAUUAAACCAGCAACUAUGCACCCCAAUCUUGCCAGAAGUGGGCCAAGAAUGUCUGAAGGUGCAUGAAGGUAGGAAGAUGCAAGAAGAGCACCGAGCAGCAUGACCUCCUAAGGAGACAGUGGCCUAAUGCAAGAGCCUCUCCAUGUGAUGGCUGCCUUCCUCAAAACCAGCAAGGUGAGGACCAGGAGAGUCCACCAGCAAGGUGGAAAUCAGGAUCUUAUGUAAUGUAAGCCUAGAAGUGCUGCUUCAUCACAGGCUACAUAUUCAAUGAGAAGCAAGUCAUAAGCCUGCCACAUUCAAAGAGAGGGGUUUUAGCAGGUAGGUAGGAAGAGUCACCUUUGUCUGCCUACUACACCCUAUCACCCAGUUCAUGGCUAAGUCUCAUGAACCCUGCCUCCAAAAUGCCCUGGAUCAAUCCACAUCUCCCCACAACCAUGAGCCACACUCCAGAUCCAGGCACCCCCUCUCAUUGGGCUGUUCUUGGUCCUUUGGUUUCAUUCUUUC